UACGUAGGGGGCAAGCGUUAUCCGGAUUUACUGGGUGUAAAGGGAGCGUAGACGGUAUGGCAAGUCUGAAGUGAAAGCCCAGGGCUUAACCCUGGGACUGCUUUGGAAACUGUUAGACUAGAGUGCUGGAGAGGUAAGUGGAAUUCCUAGUGUAGCGGUGAAAUGCGUAGAUAUUAGGAGGAACACCAGUUGCGAAGGCGGCUCUCUGGACUGUAACUGACACUGAGGCACGAAAGCGUGGGGAGCAAACAGG
rnacentral:rRNA from 1 species